rnacentral:rRNA from 1 species
UAGGGAAUCUUCCACAAUGGGCGCAAGCCUGAUGGAGCAACACCGCGUGAGUGAAGAAGGGUUUCGGCUCGUAAAGCUCUGUUGUUGGUGAAGAAGGAUAGAGGUAGUAACUGGCCUUUAUUUGACGGUAAUCAACCAGAAAGUCACGGCUAACUACGUGCCAGCAGCCGCGGUAAUACGUAGGUG